rnacentral:piRNA from 1 species
UGCCAGCCUUCUUAUUUACUUUCCUUGGU